GGGCGAAAGCCUGACCCAGCUAUGCCGCGUGCAGGAUGACAGCUCUAGUAGUCGUAAACUGCUUUUAUACGGGAAGAAAAGCACCUACGUGUAGGUGUCUGACGGUACCGUAAGAAUAAGGACCGGCUAACUCCGUGCCAGCAGCCGCGGUAAUACGGAGGGUCCAAGCGUUAUCCGGAUUCAUUGGGUUUAAAGGGUGUGUAGGCGGAAAGGUCAGUCAGUGGUGAAAUCCUACAGCUUAACUGUAGAACUGCCAUUGAUACUUCCUUUCUUGAGUCUAGUUGAAGUGAGCGGAAUGUGUCAUGUAGCGGUGAAAUGCAUAGAUAUGACACAGAACACCGAUUGCGAAGGCAGCUCGCUAAGCUAGUACUGACGCUGAGGCACGAAAGCGUGGGUAGCGAACAGGAUUAGAUACCCUGGUAGUCCACGCCGUAAACGAUGAUUACUCGAUGUUGGCGAUAUAAUGUCAGCGUCCAAGCGAAAGUGUUAAGUAAUCCACCUGGGGAGUACGGUCGCAAGAUUGAAACUCAAAGGAAUUGACGGGGGCCCGCACAAGCGGAGGAACAUGUGGUUUAAUUCGAUGAUACGCGAGGAACCUUACCUGGGCUUAAAUGUAAGAUGACAGGCUGGGAAACCAGCUCUCCUUCGGGCAACUUACAAGGUGCUGCAUGGCUGUCGUCAGCUCGUGCCGUGAGGUGUCGGGUUAAGUCCCAUAACGAGCGCAACCCCUAUCCUUAGUUGCCAGCGGAUAAUGCCGGGGACUCUAAGGAAACUGCCCGCGCAAGCGGUGAGGAAGGUGGGGAUGACGUCAAGUCAGCACGGCCCUUACGUCCAGGGCCACACACGUGUUACAAUGGCCGGUACAGAGGGCAGCUACCUGGUGACAGGAUGCGAAUCUCUAAAGCCGGUCUCAGUUCGGAUCGAAGUCUGCAACUCGACUUCGUGAAGUUGGAUUCGCUAGUAAUCGCGCAUCAGCCUCGGCGCGGUGAAUACGUUCCCGGGCCUUGUACACACCGCCCGUCAAGCCAUGGAAGCCGGGGGUACCUGAAGUCAGUCACCGUAAGGAACUGCCUAGGGUAAAACUGGUAACUGGGGCUAAGUCGUAACAAGGUAGCCGUACCGGAAGGUGCGGCUGGAAUACCUCCUUUCU
rnacentral:rRNA from 1 species